GGACCAACAUGAAUGUGCAACGAAGAGAAUAAUAAUGAUAGCAGAAGUAACAGAAAAAUUGCAGAACUGAUCUAGUAAAUGAGUAAAAUACUGAUGCUCCUGAAGAUGAUCUUCAUUAUAAUCGUCGGCAGUGAUGAUGAUAACUAAAGAGAGAAAUUGUGACAUUGUAUCCAGGGAGAUUUCUUGGUGUUAAAAGUGCUUAAGGCAGAUAAAAGUAAAACGAAGCGUUUUGUAUAUAUUUCAAAACGCAACGUUUCAUUAAACCACUGUUGAAAGUCGAAGAAGGAGGCCAUCAGUUCACUACUGGAGAUAUUUUCAUCUCUCUUUAUAGCUUUCAGCUUCUCUCACUAAAAAAGGGAUCUAGGGUUGUGAUUCAUCGCUCCAAUCCGGCGUGAUUUCAACAGCGGCGAUGUUACAAUGGAGGUUGUUAUCAACGAAGGCAUCUACGAAUAAAUUUUCUAGAUUAGUUAAGAUGAGUGAAAUAAAAUGAAGUCAAGACGAGUUAAAAAAUUGAAGAGUUUUGAUGUCUAGAUUUUAUUGUUUAUGAAUAUUGUAAUUGUGGAGUAUUAUUUAUAGGAUAGUUGAUUAUAUUUGAUUACUUUUGGGUCUAUUUUGGGAGGAAUAAGAAUAUGUUAUGAUGUAGAAUUAUUUUUAUUUAGAAUAAAGUCAUGGAAUAAAUUAACUUUGCAA